UACGUAGGGACCAAGCGUUGUUCGGAUUUACUGGGCGUAAAGGGCGCGUAGGCGGCGCGGUAAGUCACUUGUGAAAUCGCUGAGCUUAACUCAGAACGGCCAAGUGAUACUGCAGUGCUAGAGUGUGGAAGGGGCAAUCGGAAUUCUUGGUGUAGCGGUGAAAUGCGUAGAUAUCAAGAGGAACACCUGAGGUGAAGACGGGUUGCUGGGCCAACACUGACGCUGAUGCGCGAAAGCCAGGGGAGCAAACGGG
rnacentral:rRNA from 1 species